GUGACUCCAGCUUCAGAAGACACAAGAUUGAGAUGGAUUGAGUUCAUAUAUGAUGGCAACGUUCCUGCCACCACUUUGAAUCGGACUGUUUUAUCAACCUGGGCCAAUAUAACAACGGAUUCUCUAAAAGGUUGUUAUUGAAAGAGGGGUAGGUGCCAUCUUUCCAUCGCAAUACUGAAGACGAGGGAAAUGCAAGCACAUCUGUUCACGGUGCUAGGCUACAUCACGUAGCAUGCCAGACGGACCCACCAAAGAUGCGCACACAUGGAACGCAGCUUUCUAUGAAAACACUGCGACCUCACUACAAAAGUACAGGCACACAGAAAACUGUGCUGCACUGAUGUCGGUGUUGGGACCUCAGCUGUAAGAGACCUCGCUUGGAGGAGGGACAGGACAACCCAAGUUGUUGCAGUAUGGACUUCGGAGAGCCACAGGAUGCUACCUAUGAUCCUGAUGACUCGAUCACAGUCUUGACUGAGUCAGCAG